UACGUAGGCAGCAAGCGUUGUUCGGAGUUACUGGGCGUAAAGGGUGCGUAGGCGGCUUUUUAAGUUUGGUGUGAAAUCUCCCGGCUCAACUGGGAGGGUGCGCCGAAUACUGAGAGGCUAGAGUGUGGGAGAGGAAAGUGGAAUUCCUGGUGUAGCGGUGCAAUGCGUAGAUAUCAGGAGGAACACCGGUGGUGUAAACGGCUUUCUGGACCAUAACUGACGCUGAGGCACGAAAGCGUGGGGAGCGAACAGG
rnacentral:rRNA from 1 species